CCCCUACUCCUACGGGAGGCAGCAGUGGGGAAUAUUGCACAAUGGGCGCAAGCCUGAUGCAGCAACGCCGCGUGAGGGACGACGGCCUUCGGGUUGUAAACCUCUUUUAGUAGGGAAGAAGCGAAAGUGACGGUACCUGCAGAAAAAGCACCGGCUAACUACGUGCCAGCAGCCGCGGUAAUACGUAGGGUGCAAGCGUUAUCCGGAAUUAUUGGGCGUAAAGAGCUCGUAGGCGGUUUGUCACGUCUGCUGUGAAAACUGGGGGCUCAACCCCCAGCCUGCAGUGGGUACGGGCAGACUAGAGUGCGGUAGGGGAGAUUGGAAUUCCUGGUGUAGCGGUGGAAUGCGCAGAUAUCAGGAGGAACACCGAUGGCGAAGGCAGAUCUCUGGGCCGUAACUGACGCUGAGGAGCGAAAGCAUGGGGAGCGAACAGGAUUAGAUACCCUGGUAGUCCAUGCCGUAAACGUUGGGAACUAGAUGUAGGGUCCAUUCCACGGAUUCUGUGUCGCAGCUAACGCAUUAAGUUCCCCGCCUGGGGAGUACGGCCGCAAGGCUAAAACUCAAAGGAAUUGACGGGGGCCCGCACAAGCGGCGGAGCAUGCGGAUUAAUUCGAUGCAACGCGAAGAACCUUACCAAGGCUUGACAUAUACGAGAACGGGCCAGAAAUGGUCAAUUUCU
rnacentral:rRNA from 1 species